rnacentral:rRNA from 1 species
GAGUUUGAUCCUGGCUCAGGACGAACGCUGGCGGCGUGCUUAACACAUGCAAGUCACGGGGGCUCGCAAGAGCAACCGGCGAACGGGUGCGUAACACGUGAGCAAUCUGCCGAUUUCUGGGGGAUAGCCGGCCCAACGGCCGGGUAAUACCGCAUACGCUGGUUGAGAGGAGUCUCUUGGCCAGGAAACCUCCGGGGGAAAUCGAGGAGCUCGCGGCCUAUCAGCUAGUUGGCGGGGUCAAGGCCCACCAAGGCGACGACGGGUAGCUGGUCUGAGAGGAUGGCCAGCCACAUUGGGACUGAGAGACGGCCCAGACUCCUACGGGAGGCAGCGAGGUA